rnacentral:rRNA from 1 species
GUGCCAGCCGCCGCGGUAAUACGUAGGGUCCAAGCGUUAAUCGGAAUUACUGGGCGUAAAGCGUGCGCAGGCGGUUGUGCAAGACCGAUGUGAAAUCCCCGGGCUUAACCUGGGAAUUGCAUUGGUGACUGCACGGCUAGAGUGUGUCAGAGGGGGGUAGAAUUCCACGUGUAGCAGUGAAAUGCGUAGAGAUGUGGAGGAAUACCGAUGGCGAAGGCAGCCCCCUGGGAUAACACUGACGCUCAUGCAC